rnacentral:rRNA from 1 species
UACAGAGGGUGCAAGCGUUAAUCGGAAUUACUGGGCGUAAAGCGCACGUAGGCGGUUUUUUAAGUCAGAUGUGAAAGCCCCGGGCUCAACCUGGGAAUUGCAUUUGAAACUGGGGAACUAGAGUGUGUGAGAGGGGGGUAGAAUUCCAAGUGUAGCGGUGAAAUGCGUAGAGAUUUGGAGGAAUACCAGUGGCGAAGGCGGCCCCCUGGCACAACACUGACGCUGAGGUGCGAAAGCGUGGGGAGCAAACAGG